rnacentral:tRNA from 1 species
AGGGAUAUGGUGAAAUGGUAUCAUAAAGGUCUCCAAAACCUUUGGCCUGGGUUCGAUUCCCAGUAUCCCUG